CCUACGGGUGGCUGCAGUGAGGAAUAUUGGUCAAUGGACGAGAGUCUGAACCAGCCAAGUAGCGUGAAGGAUGACUGCCCUAUGGGUUGUAAACUUCUUUUAUAUGGGAAUAAAAUGUUCCACGUGUGGGAUUUUGUAUGUACCAUAUGAAUAAGGAUCGGCUAACUCCGUGCCAGCAGCCGCGGUAAUACGGAGGAUCCGAGCGUUAUCCGGAUUUAUUGGGUUUAAAGGGAGCGUAGGUGGAAUGUUAAGUCAGUUGUGAAAGUUCGCGGCUCAACCGUAAAAUUGCAGUUGAAACUGGCAGUCUUGAGUACAGUAGAGGUGGGCGGAAUUCGUGGUGUAGCGGUGAAAUGCUUAGAUAUCACGAAGAACUCCGAUUGCGAAGGCAGUUCACUGGACUGCAACUGACACUGAGGCUCGAAAGUGUGGGUAUCAAACAGGAUUAGAUAACCUAGUAGUC
rnacentral:rRNA from 1 species